AUAAAAGAGACCCUAGAGAGCUUCCUUACCCUUUCCGCCAUGUUGAGGACACAGCAAGAAGAUGGUGCUCUACGAAUCAGGAGAUGGGUGCUUGUUAUACACCAAUUCGCAGUACAAAUGAACUAAGACAGUCUGGAGACAAUAGCUUAAAUAUGAACACAAGGGACACUAAGCCAGUGAGGCCUUUUCCUGCCUAUAAAGCCAGCCUCUUCUCAACUCAACAGAA
rnacentral:lncRNA from 1 species